rnacentral:rRNA from 1 species
AGAGUGAACGCUGGCGGCAGGCCUAACACAUGCAAGUCGAACGGCAGCACAGUAAGAGCUUGCUCUUAUGGGUGGCGAGUGGCGGACGGGUGAGGAAUACAUCGGAAUCUGCCUAUUUGUGGGGGAUAACGUAGGGAAACUUACGCUAAUACCGCAUACGACCUACGGGUGAAAGCGGAGGACCUUCGGGCUUCGCGCAGAUAGAUGAGCCGAUGUCGGAUUAGCUAGUUGGUGGGUAAAGGCCCACCAAGGCGACGAUCCGUAGCUGGUCUGAGAGGAUGAUCAGCCACACUGGAACUGAGACACGGUCCAGACCUCCUACGGGAGCAGCAGGUGGGGAAUAUUGGACAAGUGGGACGCAAGCCUGAUCCAGCCAUGCCGCGUGAGUGAAGAAGGCCGUUAGGUGUAAAGCUUCUUUUGGUGGGAAGAAAGCAAGUCGGUUAAUACCGGUUGUUCUGACGUAACCAAAGAAUAA